AGUACAGCGUUGAUCGCAACUACCCACAGCAGAGAGAGUGAGUCACUGAGUAGUGUAGCACAGCGAUGGCUGACUACAGAGAGAAAUAUCACUCACUUACUUGAGGCUAACAUUCCAGCUCAAUAAUGAUAUUCAGGUAAUGGCGAGAAAGUUAGUGAUCCUUCAAAUGUGUUGUUUUGGUUGGGGGAAAAUGUGAUUCUCCCCUUAAUAAUUGGUUGGACAUCUUCAACCAACCAUGGAGUACUUUCGUUUUGUGUUUAUAAAGAUGAACUCCAAAUGGGUGAAACUGGAAGGAGAGUCUGCCGCUACACACAACCAUGGGACCAGGAGACGACUCGCACAGUCUGCAACAAACAGACACAUCAUACAGGUCGCCUUGACAUUGCUCUCUAUUGUUUUGGUGCUCUAUCAAUGACUAUCAUUAAUUACCAGGAAGCCGAAACAAGCUGCUGACCCUAACAGUGAAACUAGUGUCAGCCAAUCCAGUAUCGGGCCUUCAAACAAACACAUUGUGCAUAUCGUGUUCGAACGAGUGAGGAUGUUUAAUAGGUAUAGUCAAAAGUAAGUACAUUUUUUCGUUUUUAGUUGCGGAUGUUGUUGAAACUAUUUGUUGAGUCCUGCCUUCCAGUGCAUGAACAAAACCGAACUUUCGUCAACAUUUCUCUUGAAGUUUCAGGUACACCAUGCCAUUCCUUCAGCUCGUAGUCACGGCGCACAUAAUCAUUUACUCACAAGGUGCUAAAUGUCCCGACACCCAGCAUUGUACUGAGUGUGAUGAACAGACAGGUCGAUGCAGUACCAAGUGCCACAGAGGAUAUUUCGGCCCCAACUGCCAGGAUGUUUGCAGCAGCAGGUGCAGGUACCACACGUGUGAGCUGCUCCCUGACAAAGGUAUUGGGAGAUGUACUGAUGGUUGUAUACCUGGAUUCCAGGGUCUCACCUGUCAGAGGCCAUGUGACACUCUCAAGGUAGGCUGUACCAGGUGCCCAGGUGGAUGUGAUGGGGAGUAUUGUCAGGUGGCUGGAGCCUGUUUCUCUGGUUGCAGCCACUCCUACUACGGAGCAGGAUGUAAGACAUGUUCCAGCAGAUGUAAGUCCUGCAACAAGAUCACAGGCACCUGUGAGGAGUGUCACCCUCCUUAUUCUGGAGUAGAGUGUGGACACUCAUGUGAGAACUGUGUCGGAGGAUGUGAGAGUGGCUGUAGAGAGGGAUGCAGACAAGGUUUCUAUGGGGACGACUGUACUGAAGCAUGCAAUGACACCUGUCGAUCCUAACCCCUCCCUGACCACGGGUGGACAAUGUCCAGAUGGAGAUUCGUGUCCACCUGAGUGCCACAGCCAGACUGGCGAGUGUGUCUACGGUUGCGUUGAUGGCUGGUAUGGCCGGAAGUGUUCACGGCGAUGCAACUCUAACUGCCAGCACCAGAGGUGUAACCAGGCAGGUGCGUGUGUUGUAGGAUGUGGGAAAUGCCUCAAGGAAGCAUGUAACACAUCCUGUAUCACUGGGUGUGACGGGUGUGCUGGUGGUGUUUGUGAUGUGACAUCCGGGGCCUGUGUACAGGGGAUGCAACUCGACUGGAUCCAGGUGCGGCGAACACUGUACAGACAACUGCCGGACAUCUGAUUGUCCGUCUGGAUCGUGAACCAGGGGAACCUGUGUCUGGUGCGUCUAACGCCGUCACGGUCACAUCGGUGGUGCUUUUCGUCUUCAUCCUCCUGACUGCAUGUACCGCUGGCUACAUCUGCUAUCGCAAAGGAAUGUGUCCCACACGGAAUAAAGUUGAUGAUCAGAAACUGGAAGCUAAGCUGGAGCAGGCUGACAUCCCCAUCCACGACUACCUGGACCUACAUCACUACGAGGACAUCAGAGAGGAGGACAUUGUGGAACCAGACCAGAACCACGGCACCGGUAGGGAGGAGGCUCCAGGCAUUCCUGUUGUAGCAGACUGCUUCCCUGGAGAACUGAUGACU